rnacentral:rRNA from 1 species
AACGCUAGCUACAGGCUUAACACAUGCAAGUCGAGGGGCAGCAUGAUUGAAGCUUGCUUCAAUUGAUGGCGACCGGCGCACGGGUGAGUAACACGUAUCCAACCUUCCGUACACUCAGGGAUAGCCUUUCGAAAGAAAGAUUAAUACCUGAUGGUAUCUUAAGCACACAUGUAAUUAAGAUUAAAGAUUUAUCGGUGUACGAUGGGGAUGCGUUCCAUUAGGUAGUAGGCGGGGUAACGGCCCACCUAGCCUACGAUGGAUAGGGGUUCUGAGAGGAAGGUCCCCCACAUUGGAACUGAGACACGGUCCAAACUCCUACGGGAGGCAGCAGUGAGGAAUAUUGGUCAAUGGACGAGAGUCUGAACCAGCCAAGUAGCGUGAAGGAUGAAGGUCCUACGGAUUGUAAACUUCUUUUAUAAGGGAAUAAAACCUCCCACGUGUGGGAGCUUGUAUGUACCUUAUGAAUAAGCAUCGGCUAACUCCGUGCCAGCAGCCGCGGUAAUACGGAGGAUGCGAGCGUUAUCCGGAUUUAUUGGGUUUAAAGGGAGCGUAGACGGGUCGUUAAGUCAGCUGUGAAAGUUUGAGGCUCAACCUUAAAAUUGCAGUUGAUACUGGCGUCCUUGAGUACGGUUGAGGCAGGCGGAAUUCGUGGUGUAGCGGUGAAAUGCUUAGAUAUCACGAAGAACUCCGAUUG